AGGGCACCACCAGGAGUGGAGCCUGCGGCUUAAUUUGACUCAACACGGGGAAACUUACCCGGCCUGGACACUGGAAGGAUUGACAGAUUGAGAGCCCUUUCUUGAUUCAGUGGGAGGUGGUGCAUGGCCGUUCUUAGUUGGUGGAGCGAUUUGUCUGGUUGAUUCCGAUAACGAACGAGACUCUAGCCUAUUAAAUAGGCUCUCGGCUUUUAAACGCCGGGAGGGCUUCUUAGAGGGACAGGUGGCGGUUCAGCCGCACGAAAGAGAGCAAUAACAGGUCUGUGAUGCCCUUUGUUGUCCGGGGCCGCACGCGCGCUACACUGAAGAGAUCAGCGUGCUUUACGUUCCUGCUCCGCCCGGAGUGGGGAACCCAGUGAACCUUCUUCGUGAUUGGGAUAGAAGAUUGUAAUUAUUCUUCUUGAACGAGGAAUUCCCAGUAAAUGCGAGUCAUAAGCUCGCGUUGAUUACGUCCCUGCCCUUUGUACACACCGCCCGUCGCUACUACCGAUUGAACGAUUU
rnacentral:rRNA from 1 species